rnacentral:lncRNA from 1 species
AUGAACGGAUGUGUUAAUAUAGGCGUAAAGGAAGAGGGCUCAGGUUCUAAGAAGUCGGAAAGCUCACAAGACAAAGGUAAAUCCUCAUCUUAGACUAUUUGGCGAGUUGAAGCGAGCACGUGAUCACCACUUAACAUAUCAAGCGCUUCCGCUAGUUGCUUUAAUGUUUUGGGUCAAAUAAUUGUGAAAGUUUAUCUAAACUUGUUAGUAGA